rnacentral:rRNA from 1 species
AUUGAACGCUGGCGGCAUGCCUUACACAUGCAAGUCGAACGGCAGCACGGGAGCAAUCCUGGUGGCGAGUGGCGAACGGGUGAGUAAUAUAUCGGAACGUGCCCAGUCGUGGGGGAUAACGUAGCGAAAGUUACGCUAAUACCGCAUACGAUCUAUGGAUGAAAGCGGGGGAUCGCAAGACCUCGCGCGAUUGGAGCGGCCGAUAUCAGAUUAGGUAGUUGGUGGGGUAAAGGCUCACCAAGCCGACGAUCUGUAGCUGGUCUGAGAGGACGACCAGCCACACUGGGACUGAGACACGGCCCAGACUCCUACGGGAGGCAGCAGUGGGGAAUUUUGGACAAUGGGCGCAAGCCUGAUCCAGCCAUGCCGCGUGCAGGAUGAAGGCCUUCGGGUUGUAAACUGCUUUUGUACGGAACGAAAAGGUUUGGCCUAAUACGCUGAACUCAUGACGGUACCGUAAGAAUAAGCACCGGCUAACUACGUGCCAGCCGCUGCCGUAAAAC